AGGGAAUCUUCCACAAUGGACGAAAGUCUGAUGGAGCAACGCCGCGCGAGCGAAGAAGGUUUUCGGAUCGUAAAGCUCUGUUCGAGGGAAGAACAAGUACGGGAGUAACUGCCCGUACCUUGACGGUACCUCGUUAGAAAGCCACGGCUAACUACGUGCCAGCAGCCGCGGUAAUACGUAGGUGGCAAGCGUUGUCCGGAAUUAUUGGGCGUAAAGCGCGCGCAGACGGUCCUUUAAGUCUGAUGUGAAAGCCCACGGCUCAACCGUGGAGGGUCAUUGGAAACUGGAGGACUUGAGUACAGAAGAGGAAAGUGGAAUUCCACGUGUAGCGGUGAAAUGCGUAGAGAUGUGGAGGAACACCAGUGGCGAAGGCGACUUUCUGGUCUGUAACUGACGUUGAGGCGCGAAAGCGUGGGGAGCAAAC
rnacentral:rRNA from 1 species